rnacentral:lncRNA from 1 species
UGGUGGUGGCUGUGAACUGUGAAACGAAGAGGAAGAUGAAUACAACGCCAAAAGGUUGUGAGACAAAGAGGAAGAGAAGGUAAUUUGGGGCUGCCUUAACUAAGCCAAAACGACGUCGUUUUAAUGAGAUUGAAAACAAAAAACAAAAAAGUUGAAACGACGUCGUUUGGAUUAAUUUCGGGGUUUGACCCGGGGUUUGACUCGGGGUAAGUAGCAU